rnacentral:rRNA from 1 species
UUCGCAAUGCCCGAAAGGGUGACGAAGCGACGCCGCGUGUGGGAAGAAGGCCUUCGGGUUGUAAACCACUGUCGGGAGUUAGGAAAUGUAAGGGUGCUAAUAGUAUCCUUACUUGACUAAGGCUCCGGAGGAAGCCACGGCUAACUCUGUGCCAGCAGCCGCGGUAAUACAGAGGCGGCAAGCGUUGUUCGGAAUUAUUGGGCGUAAAGAGCACGUAGGCGGCCUUGUAAGUCAGUUGUGAAAGCCUUCUGCUUAACGGAAGAACAGCAGCUGAUACUGCAAGGCUAGAGUACGGAAGGGGAGAGUGGAACUUCUGGUGGAGCGGUGAAAUGCGUAGAUAUCAGAAGGAACACCGGCGGCGAAAGCGACUCUCUGGCCUAUUACUGACACUGAGUGUGCGAAAGUUAGGGGAGCAAACGGGAUUAGAUACCCCGGUAGUCCUAACUGUAAACGAUGGGCACUAAGUAGAGGGGUUUU